GUAAGGGGUUUCACGAUAAUUAGGGCUUUGCAAGGGGUGUUCGUCUCGCUUUGGUGAUGAUGGUGAUUUCUUUGAAAUAGGAGAUUCAUGGCCAGGGCUAAGGUUUUCCGGUGGAUAUUCAGGUUCUGUGGGUAGCGGUGGAGGUGGAGGUGGCGGUGGUGGUGACGGUUGUAAGAAGGAGGAAGGCGACGGUGGUGGCGAAGGCUGCUGAAGGCCGAGCAUUUUGUCUUGCGGCGGAGGUGAAGUCGGAACCGGUUCCUGUUCAUCUGCGACGUCUUCAGGUGGUGGAUGUUCGCGGUCGAUAGGC
rnacentral:lncRNA from 1 species